UACGUAGGGGGCAAGCGUUGUCCGGAUUUAUUGGGCGUAAAGAGCGUGUAGGCGCCAAGCAGGUCAGCUGUGAAAACUCGAGGCUCAACCUCGAGACGUCGGUUGAAACCGCUUGGCUAGAGUCCGGAAGAGGAGAGUGGAAUUCCCGGUGUAGCGGUGAAAUGCGCAGAUAUCGGGAAGAACACCCGUGGCGAAGGCGGCUCUCUGGGACGGUACUGACGCUGAGGAGCGAAAAGCGUGGGGAGCAAACAGGG
rnacentral:rRNA from 1 species